AACCGUUACAACACUCUGGCGCUUACCGUCCUCUCCCUGCGGGGUUUGGACUUUAUUCGAUGUGGUUUACGCUUAUUUUAAGUAACGAAGAGCAACGACCCGCUACUCACCGCGGUAACUGGUGGCAUUUAUGUCGCUGUGGUUACAGUGGUCCAUUUUUGUGGUCUACAU
rnacentral:snoRNA from 1 species